GAAAAAAAACCACAACUCGUAAAAGCAAAAUGCAAUGGAGUAAACCCUAAUCGUGAAUCAUCUCAAUCGACUGUUUCAUAAACCCUCUCCGUCAACCAUUGUGUCACCUCCGUAUGGAGCAUCUCAAUUCUAGGUCGUAGUCUUCGUUUUCCCUCUCGCAAAUUCCUCAAAUUUCUCCAUUUUUUGUCUUUGAUUUCUACAAUUUCAGUUCACGUCGCUUUUAAUUUUCAUUCUCACUCGAAUUCCUAAAAUAUGUUUGCUUUCAAUCAUCGCAUUUGCAGGAUCUCAGCAAACCCUAUCUUUUAUGCGGCUAAAUCUACCAUUUCGGUUCACUUCGCUUGGUGCGGAAGCACGACUCAAGGAUAAGAAAUCAAGAGAUUUUACUAGAGAAGAUUUGAAGGAAGCUCAAGGUUCAAAUGUUGGUAUUAUUGUUGAUUGAUGCUCUAUUCUUGCUACCAAUUGCUUUCAAUGUAAAUAGUUUUUCAUCUUGCACACAAGGUGUUUGAUGAAAAGUAAGUUCUUUCAAAGUAAGUAGUGUCAAGUCUCUCAAACUAUCUAAUAAUACUCUUGAGGUAUGUUUGACUAUUUGCUCAUCAACUUAAAUUUUUUAUGAAUAUUGUAUGUGAUAAUACCUAAUGAGAUUUAUGUGUUUCGUAUUAUCCUUGCAGAUUUUCUCUUUCCUCUGUAUCACAACACUGAAUGCAGUUUUGUUUCCAUUACUAGUGUCUCUACCAUACAAAGGAUACUCUCAAUCUCCUUCCUACAUUUCACACUUUGACACAUCUUCUUGUGUUGUAUGGUCCCGAGUAUAAUAAUGAAGUAUUAAUGAGCAUUCUCCGAAAGACUCCUAAACUAGAAGUUCUUGAGAUACCUGGGGUGGUACACUUUAUAUUCAGCAUCAGUGCUUAUAUUUAUUGUGUAUCAAAGCUAUCACAUUUAUUUUAUAUUCAGCAAAUGCAAUAUUAAGUGUAAAACCGUAAAACUAUUUUUAGGCCUUGUGUUGUUCCCUUUUCGGCUGAUCAAGUUGACAUGACGAAAGAUGGUGUCGCGUCUAGGAAAUGGAAUCUGUUCAACUGGUACUUUAUCAUCAUGGGUUUUGCUUCUCUAAGUGCUUUGACCAUUGUGGUUUAUAUUCAAGAUAAUAUGGGUUGGAGUUUGGGACUUGGCAUUCCAACUAUUGCGGUGCUGAUAUCGAUAAUUUUGUUUGUGUUGGGCUCUCCGUUUUAUAAGAAUGUGAAACCAGAAGGAAGUCCUUUAGUCCGUCUAGCGCAAGUGGAUGCUCCUCAGCUUUUAUAUCAAAAUAGAGAACUUGAUGCUGCUAUUAUAUCAAAAUAGAGAACUUGAUGCUGCUAUUUCUUUAGAAGGAGAUCUUUUACACUCAAAUCAAUAUAAGUGGUUGGACAAGGCUACAAUUGUCACAGAAGUUGAUGCAAAAGAUUCAAAUGCACCACCAAACCUUUGGAAUCUAGUUACUGUCCAUAGAGUUGAGGAACUAAAAUCCAUCGUUAGAAUGCUUCCUAUUUGGGCUUCAGGAAUCAACCGUAAACUAUAUUAGUAGUCUACUUGAAAUUUAUAGUUGUCACUGAGUCGUAGCUUCUUUCUCUCACUCAUUCUCACUUCCUAUGUAGUACUAGUACCAACACUUUAGAUUAAAGGUGUGUCCAAGUUAAUUGUUUAGUUCAUAUAUGAUAUAGGUGGAUUACCUACUCGCUGGGAAGAGACGCUUGAAGGUAUUUGCAAAAUGAGGUGUUAUGCAGAUGCACCAGUAGACACUAUGGGAUGCGAGAAAGCUGGUUCUACACUACCACCUAAGGGAGGAAGAUGAUGAGUCUCAGGAUAUUAUACUAUACUGUGACAUGGUGACUGAUGAGUUACAACAAUCAUGAAAAUCUCGGGAUGGUUUCUGACAGUAGUUUCAGUGCCUCUUCACACACCGACACAGAGGUUAAUUACUGAACAAUAUAGCGGAAAUAUUGAGUUACAACAACCGAGUCCCGUAUCAGUUCUUGACUUGUAGUUUUACAAAGACGACUCGUCGUGUUCACCAUCUCCAAUAAUGAAAAGAUGCAUUGAAUAUAAAGGUCAAUAUUUUUGUUUUAUUCUUACAUGCACAAGUCGUAAUCAUUGCUUCCUCGACGUUAAGGUCAUUGCUUUAUUUACUAGUGAGAGAGUUAAUAUUAAGUUUUAGGACCAGAUUUGCUCAUCCUGUUUUAUCUUUUGUCAUUUAGUGAGAGCCCUUGUUUCAGUUGUUCACAUGUAAACUUGCGUUCGACGUUGACGAAAUUAUUCUCAUGGGUAACACUCCUGUCAAUGGCCUCCUGCAGCAUUGGGAAGAUUAUACGAUGCGGAAGGUAAAGAACAAAAUUAAAUACUCUCUGAAUCAAUUUUUGCUAUUUCUUAUUUACAAUCAUUGACUCAUAAAUUUGUUAGAUAGUAUGAAAUUGUUUUCCGAGCUUUCUCAUAAUCGAAUUUGUAGUAUCAUCAAGGUGGGUGAAACCGAACCGAUGAUGGAUUUGAUUUGUUGCAUAUGCUGCUAAUCUUUUAUCAACAGAACCUCCAAACACUAUAUUGCUCCUUGUUGUUUGGUGUUUUUCUCUGUUCCUUGGUUGAUUGUUGAGUAUCCUUCUUUGAGGGAUAACUCUAGUUUUCAUAACUCGAGGGUAGUUAAGGAUUGGCUGUUGAUUGCAUUUUCGUGGUCUAUGAUUAAGGGUUAGAAUUGCAUAGAGUAAAUCAACUUUUUAGAAAGUUCUUAGCUGAAUGUGAUAGUCUCAAAGUUGGAAGCAUGUGCACACAAUGUUUUGUAGAUUGUCAUUGGAAAUACAAUCUUCUGUGCAUUAUUUUCAGUUAUUGGUUAUAGUGUGUUAUUUUCAUUAUGUAUCGCUACAAAUUUGUAACUUCUUAUAAUUUUAUAUUGGGGCUUGUCUGCAGCUUCCACAAGACAUUCAGUGGCACUUCAUUGGCCAUUUGCAAAGCAAUAAAGUCAAAACACUCUUGAGUAUGCUUUUUUUACUUAUUUUUUCAAUUAUUCAUGAUUUUGUUUCAAAAUGUGUUUCUUUUUUCAUUAGAUUAAUGUACAAUGAAUGCUUUUUUUUGUUGUUUCACUAGUUUAUGCAGUAAUAGAUAAAUUGUUAAUGACCUGCAUGCUCUGAAAAGUCCAACACCACGUGGUACACCCCUCCCUGUAAUACUGCUAGGGGAGCAAAUAUUA